rnacentral:rRNA from 1 species
GAGGGGUGCAAACGUUAUUCGGAUUUACUGGGUGUAAAGGGUGUGUAGACGGGUUACCAAGUUCGUUGUUAAAUCUUUCGGCCUAACCGAAAGUUCGCGAUGAAAACUGGUAGUCUUGAGGAUGAAAGAGAGAAGUGGAAUUCUCGGAGUAGCGGUAAAAUGCGUAGAUCUCGAGAGGAACACCGAUGGCGAAAGCAGCUUCUUGGUUCAUUCCUGACGUUGAGACACGAAAGCGUGGGGAGCAAACAGGAUUAGAUACCCUGGGUAGUCCACGCUGUAAACGAUGAUCACUGGAUGUUAGUCUUGCUUUGCAAGAUUGGUAUCGAAGCUAACGCGUUAAGUGAUCCACCUGGGAACUACGAUCGCAAGAUUA